AGGCCAUUGUCAGGACUUGAUCAUUUUGGCCAUAAGGAAAGGUUGGAUGGGCUGGUGUCUUUUUCUUCAGGACAGAGGUACAUUACGUGGAGAAUAAAACUAAGAUAUCAGAAAACUGAAGGGCCUCCAGAAAGACAAACUGUAAAUCGGCAACUACAGCAGAAGAAUGGCCACAGAGUUUGAUCUGUCUCCUCCAGAAAUACCAGAACCAACCUUUUUUGACAACAUCCUGCGUUAUGGCUUGUUCCUAGGGGCAAUUUUCCAGAUUAUCUGCAUAUUGUCUAUCUUAUUACCCUCUUCUAAAUCAUCAGAGCCAGAAUGGGACCAAUCUGAGACAAAGUCUUUGGACGUCACUAAAAAGCAGAAGCCUACAACUCCUUCAUUGGGCAAGAAAGCCAAGAAAGAGAGCAAAAAGAAGAGAUAGGUUACUGGAAGAGAGCUGGAGUAAAAAUAGCAUAGAUGUUUCUGUGGUGAUGCUGGUUUUGUAUUCAUUGUUCCUGAAAAUAUAUAAACUUUUUUUUUUUCAGUGCUGUUUACACAAAAGUUUUGCAAUUGCAACCUUAAUUUUACUAUCCCAUCUUUCUUGCAUCUUCUGGAAAUUUUAAAAAUUACCAACUUGCAACCAGCUUCAUUGUCUUAGUCAUUUUAUACCUAUCCUUCAUUGAAAAUAGCUGCACAUGGAUCUUUUGACUGCAACUAAAGGUUCUUUGAUAUUGCCAUGGACUGUGGUCUCAGGAGAGCAGCUUACAUGCAGCACUCCUCCACGCUUAUACACUACAGUGGAUUGCUCCCUAAAUAGUAAAUAGGGAUAAGUGCUUUUAACACUUAGGUCAUUGUGCAUGUGUGACCAUUGAUGUUAUGCCUUCCACAGUGUUCAAGGACCAAACAGGAGUUCAUAUCACUGUGUGCCCAAUACACUAGUUAUGACUCAGCAUUUUUAUUAUGGAGGCAUGGGAGCUCCAAACUCUUUCCAAAAAAAACCUGGUUCUGGAAAUUCCGGAGAACUCUUGGUCUCCCGCAUAACCUCCCCACCACCCCCCACCAAUGCCAGGAAGCAAUAUUAAUGACCGUUUUGUUUCUUUAGCGUUCGUUCUCUGGGGAUUUUAGGGCUUGGGUGACCGCUGACAGCAAAAUUGAGAAUUUUAUCUGACAUGUGGGACUAAGUGAGUAGGUCAGUAACUAAUGGCAAGAGCGUAACAUAAAACACCCUGAAAUAGUUUGCAAAAGUGUGUUAAACAGCCCAUUUGAGACCUGUGUUCAGAGGAGAACUGAGCUUGGACCACCAGAAUCUUACAUCAUGCUAAUAUAUCCUGUUUGUUUUGGUGUGAGCUUUAAGACUGUAAAUUAGUUGAAAUUUCUCUUAGACCAAAAGAUGUAGAAGCAGAAGUGGGCCAUUCAGCCUAUCAAGUCUGUUCUGCUAUUCAAUGAGGUCAUAGCUGAUCUGAUAAUCCUCAACCUCACUUUCCUACCUCUUCCCCAUAACCCUUGAUUCCCUUGCUGAUUG